GCCUGGGUGGCUCAGUGGGUUGAGCGUCUGACUUUGGCUCAGGUCAUGAUUUCCCAGUCUGUGAGUUCGAGCCCCACGUCGGGCU
rnacentral:tRNA from 1 species